CACCUUCUCUCAUUCAUUUUUAUCGAUGAAUCUUUGGCAGGGACGGGUCCAAUGGUUGCUGAGGGCAAGGUCGAAACAAAGGAGACGUCAAGGACUUGUGAGUCUUUGAGCACGAAAUUCAAGGGACCUUGCAUCCGAUCAAGCAACUGUGCAAAUAUUUGCGAAGAAGAAGGCUUCAAGGGAGGCAAAUGUGUUGGCUUCAGGCUGAGAUGUACGUGCACUAAGAAUUGUUAGUGAUAUAACACACAAACUUAUUUUGGUGCAUGGGAUUGAGAUGAAUGAAAAUUUUUUACCCUUUUUUUCGUUUUGUUUAAGAGAAUAAAUGACUAACCCUAAUAUAAAUUUUGGGGUUGUGUCUGUGUUUUUGUUCUUAUGCGCUAACAGUGCGUGAGUUAUUUUGUAAUCAAUAAAAUCAAAAAAUAAUAUCGUUCAUUUCUUAAUGUAAUGAUACUUUUUUUCUCUCUACACAAAUGUACUCUUUCUAGCAUUACUUUAAACUUUUUACCAAUGCGUAAUGUUGAUUAUACUAUUUGUAACUUUAGGGGCUGCUUUUGUUAGUUUUUAGAGGCCAUGAACCAACUCUCACUCACCUCAAGCCACAGAUAUGCGAAACGUAAUUGAUCCAAAUUAGUUAUAUGUACAACAAUGGAAACUUUCAUAUCCACAUCACUAAUUGACUUAAUAUGGCGCACAAAACUCUUUUUUUUUUGUUUUUUUUUUUUUGUUUUUGUGGAGAAAUUUUAGGAUUGCAUUUAUAAUUUAGUCAAAAAAAAGCCACUAGCUAUAAAGGGCCAUUACAAUAACGGAGCGGUCUAACAUCAAAAUUAAAACAAUCUGGUCCGCCUCCACUAACAAUCACUUAGGAUCGAAGAAACUCUGGCAUAGGCAUCCCAAUUAAGAUUGCAAACUCAGAAUAAUCAAACAGAGUUAAAGCUUGAAAAAAUCAAGCCAUAACAAUACAAAUAAAACUCUCACAAAGGAGAGAUGAAAAGCUCUCACAAAAGAGAGAUGAUAAUCUCUCACAAAUGAGAGGUGAAAAGCUCUCACAAAAGGAGAGCUGAAAACUACACAGACAACCCAGAGAGUUUCUGUGACUUAUUUCGAACAUAAAGAAACCGCAAAGAAGAUGGUGGUGGAGAUCCGAUGCCGAAAUGCAUGUGGCGAUCCAACGCCGAGACGCAGUCACCUGUGAUGGUUGGAGGAAAAUCAUAACAAAACGAAGACAAACAGGGAAAACCUUUUGUCUCUGAAUAUGAGGGAAGAGAAGAGAGGGAGGAAGAGAAGAGGGGAGAGAGGAGGAAGAAUAGUGGCUUCCUCCCUCGUCAAAGUGAACUUGUCAUUUUCUUAUUGGUUCUUAGUGUGUUAAAAUUUUAUAAGAAGAAAUUAGUCAUUAGAAAAUGAUAAGUGACUAUUUUGGGUUAAAGCCCUUUUUUCUUUUUCUAUUUUGGGAUUUAACUACAACGAUCCUCGAACUUAUACGAGUUCACAUUUAGUUAAUUCAGUAUAAUAAUUAAAAAAAUUGUUUGUUUUUUAAAGAUUAUUGUAUCCAAAUUAUUAGUUUUACCCCUCAGUUUUACCAAAUUUGAAAAAAUAACUAAAUUGAAACAUGCACGAGAUCUGAAGGACCAAAAUAAAACUAGAUAUAAAUUUAGGGAUCAUUGCAGUUAAAAAAACCUUUGAAUUUUACUAGCAAAAUGAAAAGCCAAAAGAAUAAUUACGAAAAAUAUAUAUAUAAAGAUUAUGCAUGUGAUAUUUCUAGUUAGGUGGUCACUGCACGUAGUGGAUUAGAUUCCACAUUGAAUAUCCAUAUCAAUUGGUAAUUAUCUUUUGUCAAGACAAUAGAAAAUGAUUUAAUUUUUACAAUAGUUCUUGCAUGCUAAUCAAUUACCAUAUCCGAAUAAAAUGACAUAAUAUAUUCUUGCUGGCGACUUAUAGUUUGCAUUCAUGUUUGUAAUGGACUCGACUCACAAAGAUUCAGAAGCUUUUUAAACCAAAAGGAAAAUGAAGAAAUAGAAGGAAAUCUUGUAUAGGAACAUGAUUGUUUUGGCAUAAAGUUUAGGUUGGAGGCUAUGAUUUCAGCAACUUCCUUUUGUUACCAACAAAUACAGAAAUACAGAAAAGGGUGGGGGAAAGUAAUUAAAGGAGGCAUUUCAAAAUAAUAGUGCUUUUAAAAUAUAUAUAUAUAUAUAUAUAUAUCAAGGGGCAAGUCCAUUUAAAUAAUGCUUGAAUAUGUACUGUUAAGUUUUCUUUUUGAAAAUUUGUGAUAAUUGUAUUCAAUAAUUCGACACAAAGAUCAAAUACUCAUAAAGGGUUAGUAUAAAGUUGUAUGCACAGUAAUUGCAGAUGGUUAAUUCAUAUAUAAGAGGAUACACUGGUGACAUUGCACAAUUUGUAUCUCCACUAAUAGUCCUAAAAGACCAAAUAUAUUUCGAUGUAACAGUCACAUGCCUGAGCAAAUCAGACAUGUAAUACAACGCCCAAAAUUACAAAUACAACGACAAUCAACUCUUACAAGUAGAGACUAAAACACAAAUAAACACCCAACUCACAAAGAGUUGUUGGUUUCAGUAUUUUAAAAAGUAGGAAAAUUACCCUUAAAAUUAUAAAUUAUUACACUAUUGGCCCUUUUGUGCGUCAAAUUACAAAUGAUUAAAAAGUUGACAUAUCCAUAUGAAAAAAGAAAAAUUGACACAUCACCUAUACUAGAAGGUUAAAUCUGUCCAACAAAUAAAAGGUUAAAUAGAAGGUUAAAAUUUUUCUAUAAGUUCUUAUUUGUUGUCCAUAUGACAUGUUCAUUUAGGUUUAUCAUCCAUGUCCGCAUAAAAUGGGCUAAUUAAGUGUUAGGUAAAAAUAACAAAGGUUAAAUUUCCCUCCGCUCUCUAUUUUUCAUAGGUGUACCGCUCUUUACGGAAAUGCUCUUAAUUUGCUUCAUAACAACUCUAUAUAAAAGGCGUUGGAUGGUUAACCUUUGAAUCAAGGCAUCUUGAAUCAACAUUCAACAUCCCUCUGUCUGUGUUUUUGUUUCAUACGCGUGCACGUACACACACAAAAAUCAAGAUGGAGGGAUCCAAACGUAUGUUUUCAACUGUCUUCAUCCUCGUCCUGCUCUUCGUGGCUAUUGGUAUCUCUCUCUUUCCUCAUUUUAAUUUCAUCUUUAUAUUUGAUUAGUGAUAUAUUUCUUUCCAAUGCUGAAAGACGUUUCAAGUUUGAAUCCACCUUCUCUCAUUCAUUUUUAUCGAUGAAUCUUUGGCAGGGACGGGUCCAAUGGUUGCUGAGGGCAAGGUCGAAACAAAGGAGACGUCCAGGACUUGUGAGUCUUUGAGCACGAAAUUCAAGGGACCUUGCAUCCGAUCAAGCAACUGUGCAAAUAUUUGCGAAGAAGAAGGCUUCAAGGGAGGCAAAUGUGUUGGCUUCAGGCUGAGAUGUACGUGCACUAAGAAUUGUUAGUGAUAUAACACACUAACUUAUUUUGGUGCAUGGGAUUGAGAUGAAUGAAAAUUUUUUACCCUUUUUUUCGUUUUGUUUAAGAGAAUAAAUGACUAACCCUAAUAUAAAUUUUGGGGUUGUGUCUGUGUUUUUGUUCUUAUGCGCUAACAGUGCGUGAGUUAUUUUGUAAUCAAUAAAAUAAAAAAAUAAUAUCGUUCAUUUCUUAAUGUAAUGAUACUUUUUUUCUCUCUACACAAAUGUACUCUUUCUAGCAUUACUUUAAACUUUUUACCAAUGCGUAAUGUUGAUUAUACUAUUUGUAACUUUAGGGGCUGCUUUUGUUAGUUUUUAGAGGCCAUGAACCAACUCUCACUCACCUCAAGCCACAGAUAUGCGAAACGUAAUUGAUCCAAAUUAGUUAUAUGUACAACAAUGGAAACUUUCAUAUCCACAUCACUAAUUGACUUAAUAUGGCGCACAAAACUCUUUUUUUUUUGUUUUUUUUUUUUUGUUUUUGUGGAGAAAUUUUAGGAUUGCAUUUAUAAUUUAGUCAAAAAAAAGCCACUAGCUAUAAAGGGCCAUUACAAUAACGGAGCGGUCUAACAUCAAAAUUAAAACAAUCUGGUCCGCCUCCACUAACAAUCACUUAGGAUCGAAGAAACUCUGGCAUAGGCAUCCCAAUUAAGAUUGCAAACUCAGAAUAAUCAAACAGAGUUAAAGCUUGAAAAAAUCAAGCCAUAACAAUACAAAUAAAACUCUCACAAAGGAGAGAUGAAAAGCUCUCACAAAAGAGAGAUGAUAAUCUCUCACAAAUGAGAGGUGAAAAGCUCUCACAAAAGGAGAGCUGAAAACUACACAGACAACCCAGAGAGUUUCUGUGACUUAUUUCGAACAUAAAGAAACCGCAAAGAAGAUGGUGGUGGAGAUCCGAUGCCGAAAUGCAUGUGGCGAUCCAACGCCGAGACGCAGUCACCUGUGAUGGUUGGAGGAAAAUCAUAACAAAACGAAGACAAACAGGGAAAACCUUUUGUCUCUGAAUAUGAGGGAAGAGAAGAGAGGGAGGAAGAGAAGAGGGGAGAGAGGAGGAAGAAUAGUGGCUUCCUCCCUCGUCAAAGUGAACUUGUCAUUUUCUUAUUGGUUCUUAGUGUGUUAAAAUUUUAUAAGAAGAAAUUAGUCAUUAGAAAAUGAUAAGUGACUAUUUUGGGUUAAAGCCCUUUUUUCUUUUUCUAUUUUGGGAUUUAACUACAACGAUCCUCGAACUUAUACGAGUUCACAUUUAGUUAAUUCAGUAUAAUAAUUAAAAAAAUUGUUUGUUUUUUAAAGAUUAUUGUAUCCAAAUUAUUAGUUUUACCCCUCAGUUUUACCAAAUUUGAAAAAAUAACUAAAUUGAAACAUGCACGAGAUCUGAAGGACCAAAAUAAAACUAGAUAUAAAUUUAGGGAUCAUUGCAGUUAAAAAAACCUUUGAAUUUUACUAGCAAAAUGAAAAGCCAAAAGAAUAAUUACGAAAAAUAUAUAUAUAAAGAUUAUGCAUGUGAUAUUUCUAGUUAGGUGGUCACUGCACGUAGUGGAUUAGAUUCCACAUUGAAUAUCCAUAUCAAUUGGUAAUUAUCUUUUGUCAAGACAAUAGAAAAUGAUUUAAUUUUUACAAUAGUUCUUGCAUGCUAAUCAAUUACCAUAUCCGAAUAAAAUGACAUAAUAUAUUCUUGCUGGCGACUUAUAGUUUGCAUUCAUGUUUGUAAUGGACUCGACUCACAAAGAUUCAGAAGCUUUUUAAACCAAAAGGAAAAUGAAGAAAUAGAAGGAAAUCUUGUAUAGGAACAUGAUUGUUUUGGCAUAAAGUUUAGGUUGGAGGCUAUGAUUUCAGCAACUUCCUUUUGUUACCAACAAAUACAGAAAUACAGAAAAGGGUGGGGGAAAGUAAUUAAAGGAGGCAUUUCAAAAUAAUAGUGCUUUUAAAAUAUAUAUAUAUAUAUAUAUAUAUAUCAAGGGGCAAGUCCAUUUAAAUAAUGCUUGAAUAUGUACUGUUAAGUUUUCUUUUUGAAAAUUUGUGAUAAUUGUAUUCAAUAAUUCGACACAAAGAUCAAAUACUCAUAAAGGGUUAGUAUAAAGUUGUAUGCACAGUAAUUGCAGAUGGUUAAUUCAUAUAUAAGAGGAUACACUGGUGACAUUGCACAAUUUGUAUCUCCACUAAUAGUCCUAAAAGACCAAAUAUAUUUCGAUGUAACAGUCACAUGCCUGAGCAAAUCAGACAUGUAAUACAACGCCCAAAAUUACAAAUACAACGACAAUCAACUCUUACAAGUAGAGACUAAAACACAAAUAAACACCCAACUCACAAAGAGUUGUUGGUUUCAGUAUUUUAAAAAGUAGGAAAAUUACCCUUAAAAUUAUAAAUUAUUACACUAUUGGCCCUUUUGUGCGUCAAAUUACAAAUGAUUAAAAAGUUGACAUAUCCAUAUGAAAAAAGAAAAAUUGACACAUCACCUAUACUAGAAGGUUAAAUCUGUCCAACAAAUAAAAGGUUAAAUAGAAGGUUAAAAUUUUUCUAUAAGUUCUUAUUUGUUGUCCAUAUGACAUGUUCAUUUAGGUUUAUCAUCCAUGUCCGCAUAAAAUGGGCUAAUUAAGUGUUAGGUAAAAAUAACAAAGGUUAAAUUUCCCUCCACUCUCUAUUUUUCAUAGGUGUACCGCUCUUUACGGAAAUGCUCUUAAUUUGCUUCAUAACAACUCUAUAUAAAAGGCGUUGGAUGGUUAACCUUUGAAUCAAGGCAUCUUGAAUCAACAUUCAACAUCCCUCUGUCUGUGUUUUUGUUUCACACGCGUGCACGUACACACACAAAAAUCAAGAUGGAGGGAUCCAAACGUAUGUUUUCAACUGUCUUCAUCCUCGUCCUGCUCUUUGUGGCUAUUGGUAUCUCUCUCUUUCCUCAUUUUAAUUUCAUCUUUAUAUUUGAUUAGUGAUAUAUUUCUUUCCAAUGCUGAAAGACGUUUCAAGUUUGAAUCCACCUUCUCUCAUUCAUUUUUAUCGAUGAAUCUUUGGCAGGGACGGGUCCAAUGGUUGCUGAGGGCAAGGUCGAAACAAAGGAGACGUCCAGGACUUGUGAGUCUUUGAGCACGAAAUUCAAGGGACCUUGCAUCCGAUCAAGCAACUGUGCAAAUAUUUGCGAAGAAGAAGGCUUCAAGGGAGGCAAAUGUGUUGGCUUCAGGCUGAGAUGUACGUGCACUAAGAAUUGUUAGUGAUAUAACACACUAACUUAUUUUGGUGCAUGGGAUUGAGAUGAAUGAAAAUUUUUUACCCUUUUUUUCGUUUUGUUUAAGAGAAUAAAUGACUAACCCUAAUAUAAAUUUUGGGGUUGUGUCUGUGUUUUUGUUCUUAUGCGCUAACAGUGCGUGAGUUAUUUUGUAAUCAAUAAAAUAAAAAAAUAAUAUCGUUCAUUUCUUAAUGUAAUGAUACUUUUUUUCUCUCUACACAAAUGUACUCUUUCUAGCAUUACUUUAAACUUUUUACCAAUGCGUAAUGUUGAUUAUACUAUUUGUAACUUUAGGGGCUGCUUUUGUUAGUUUUUAGAGGCCAUGAACCAACUCUCACUCAC
rnacentral:lncRNA from 1 species